GGAGGGGGCUAGCGUUGUUCGGAAUUAUUGGGCGUAAAGGGCGCGUAGGCGGCUUGAUAAGUCAGUUGUGAAAUCCCUCGGCUCAACCGGGGAACUGCAAACGAUACUGUCAGGCUUGAGUCCCGGAGAGGGUAGUGGAAUUCCCAGUGUAGCGGUGAAAUGCGUAGAUAUUGGGAGGAACACCAGUGGCGAAGGCGACUACCUGGACGGGUACUGACGCUGAGGCGCGAAAGCAUGGGGAGCAAACAGGAUUAGAUACCCUGGUAGUCCAUGCUGUAAACGAUGAGCACUUGGUGCUGCGGGUAUCGACCCCCCCCCUGCAGUGCCGAAGCUAACGCAUUAAGUGCUCCGCCUGGGGAGUACGGUCGCAAGGCUG
rnacentral:rRNA from 1 species